rnacentral:RNase_P_RNA from 1 species
UGAGCGACGCAGGUGAUCGCGUGUGCAUACACGAGGAAAGUCCGGGCUACACAGGGCAGGAUGCCGGAUAACGUCCGGUGGAGGUGACUCCCAGGAAAGUGCAACAGAAAUAAUACAGCCGGCGCUGCCUGUCGUGGAGACAACGUUUGUAUUGAUGUGUUAAUAUGACGGGUGUAUUCAGGACAGGCAGUACCGGUAAUGGUGAAAUGGCGAGGUAAGAGCUCACCGCUCCGGCGGUAACGUCGGAGGCAUAUGUAAACCCCAUCCGUAGCAAGACCAAGCAGGAGACAGUAUCUCUCUGCAACAGAACGAUCUUUCGGAACGACAGGUUUUAGACAGAUCAGUCUGUUGCGGAGAGAUGCGCC